rnacentral:miRNA from 5 species
AAAGCUAGACAACCAUUGA